UUGGCCUUGACAUACUAAGAACUUUCCAGAGAUGGAUUGGUGCCUUCGGGAACUUUAGAUACAGGUGCUGCAUGGCUGUCGUCAGCUCGUGUCGUGAGAUGUUGGGUUAAGUCCGCAACGAGCGCAACCCUUUUCCUUAUUUGCCAGCGGGUCAUGCCGGGAACUUUAAGGAUACUGCCAGUGACAAACUGGAGGAAGGCGGGGACGACGUCAAGUCAUCAUGGCCCUUACGGCCAGGGCUACACACGUGCUACAAUGGUCGGUACAAAGGGUUGCUACCUCGCGAGAGGAUGCUAAUCUCAAAAAGCCGAUCGUAGUCCGGAUCGCAGUCUGCAACUCGACUGCGUGAAGUCGGAAUCGCUAGUAAUCGCGGAUCGGAAUGCCGCGGUGAAUACGUUCCCGGGCCUUGUACACACCGCCCGUCACACCAUGGGAGUUUGUUGCACCAGAAGUAGGUAGUCUAACCGCAAGGAGGACGCUUACCACGGUGUGGCCGAUGACUGGGGUGAAGUCGUAACAAGGUAGGCGUAGAUGA
rnacentral:rRNA from 1 species